GUAGGGACGGCAGGUAGCCUAGUGGUUAGAGUGUAGGGACGGCAGGUAGCCUAGUGGUUAGAGUGUUGGGACGGCAGGUAGCCUAGUGGUUAGAGUGUAGGGACGGCAGGUAGCCUAGUGGUUAGAGUGUAGGGACGGCAGGUAGCCUAGUGGUUAGAGUGCAGGGACGGCAGGUAGCCUAGUGGUUAGAGUGUAGGGACGGCAGGUAGCCUAGUGGUUAGAGUGUAGGGACGGCAGGUAGCCUAGUGGUUAGAGUGUAGGGGAGGCAGGUAGUCUAGUGGUUAGAGUGUAGGGACGGCAGGUAGCCUAGUGGUUAGAGUGUAGGGACGGCCGGUUAGCCUAGUGGUUAGAGUGUAUGGACGGCAGGUAGCCUAGUGGUUAGAGUGUAGUAGCGGCAGCGUUGGACCAGUAACAGAAAAGGUUGCUGGACCGAAUCCCCGAGCUAACAAGGUAAAAAUCUGUCAUUCUGCCCCUGAACAAGGCAGUUAACCCACUGUUCCUAGACCAGUUAACCCACUGUUCCACUGUUCCUAGACCAGUUAACCCCAGUGUUCCACUGUUCCUAGACC
ensembl:lncRNA